AUGAGUUGCAAAACUCCAACCAUCGCGAAUGUAACCUAUUGCAGUUUCUUCGGCGGGUGGCCCUGAGAUGGGCUGCGCACCCCGUGGGUCACGGGGGGUAUACCCGCCGGAGUCGUACAAACUCUUUUUGAGUUUGACUUUUAGUACUCAGAUGACAUUAGUUUGCCCGUACUGCAGUACCCCAACUUCUAUGUCUCUUUACUUAAUAAGUCA
rnacentral:misc_RNA from 1 species